rnacentral:rRNA from 1 species
UGUGCUAUACGAGCGGCCGAUGUCUGAUUAGCUAGUUGGUGGGGUAAAGGCUCACCAAGGCGACGAUCAGUAGCGGGUCUGAGAGGAUGAUCCGCCACACUGGGACUGAGACACGGCCCAGACUCCUACGGGAGGCAGCAGUGGGGAAUUUUGGACAAUGGGCGAAAGCCUGAUCCAGCCAUGCCGCGUGUCUGAAGAAGGCCUUCGGGCUGUAAAGCUCUUUUGUCAGGGACGAUGAUGACGGUACCUGACGAAUAAGCUCCGGCUAACUUCGUGCCAGCAGCCGCGGUAAUACGAGGGGAGCUAGCGUUGUUCGGAAUUACUGGGCGUAAAGGGCGUGUAGGCGGUACCAUAAGUCAGAUGUGAAAGCCCUGGGCUUAACCUAGGAUGUGCAUUUGAUACUGUGGAACUAGAGAUCGAGAGAGGAAAGUGGAAUUACGAGUGUAGAGGUGAAAUUCGUAGAUAUUCGUAAGAACACCAGUGGCGAAGGCGACUUUCUGGCUCGAUACUGACGCUAAGGCGCGAAAGCGUGGGGAGCAAACAGGAUUAGAU